rnacentral:rRNA from 1 species
AGAGUUUGAUCCUGGCUCAGAGUGAACGCUGGCGGUAGGCCUAACACAUGCAAGUCGAACGGCAGCACAGUAAGAGCUUGCUCUUACGGGUGGCGAGUGGCGGACGGGUGAGGAAUACAUCGGAAUCUACUUUUUCGUGGGGGAUAACGUAGGGAAACUUACGCUAAUACCGCAUACGACCUACGGGUGAAAGCAGGGGAUCUUCGGACCUUGCGCGAUUGAAUGAGCCGAUGUCGGAUUAGCUAGUUGGCGGGGUAAAGGCCCACCAAGGCGACGAUCCGUAGCUGGUCUGAGAGGAUGAUCAGCCACACUGGAACUGAGACACGGUCCAGACUCCUACGGGAGGCAGCAGUGGGGAAUAUUGGACAAUGGGCGCAAGCCUGAUCCAGCCAUACCGCGUGGGUGAAGAAGGCCUUCGGGUUGUAAAGCCCUUUUGUUGGGAAAGAAAUCCAGCUGGUUAAUACCCGGUUGGGAUGACGGUACCCAAAGAAUAAGCACCGGCUAACUUCGUGCCAGCAGCCGCGGUAAUACGAAGGGUGCAAGCGUUACUCGGAAUUACUGGGCGUAAAGCGUGCGUAGGUGGUCGUUUAAGUCUGUUGUGAAAGCCCUGGGCUCAACCUGGGAACUGCAGUGGAAACUGGACGACUAGAGUGUGGUAGAGGGUAGCGGAAUUCCUGGUGUAGCAGUGAAAUGCGUAGAGAUCAGGAGGAACAUCCAUGGCGAAGGCAGCUACCUGGACCAACACUGACACUGAGGCACGAAAGCGUGGGGAGCAAACAGGAUUAGAUACCCUG